UACGAAGGGUGCGAGCGUUAAUCGGAAUUACUGGGCGUAAAGCGUGCGCAGGCGGUUUUGUAAGCCAGAUGUGAAAUCCCCGGGCUCAACCUGGGAACUGCAUUUGGGACUGCAAGGCUGGAGUACGGCAGAGGGAGGUGGAAUUCCACGUGUAGCAGUGAAAUGCGUAGAUAUGUGGAGGAACACCGAUGGCGAAGGCAGCCUCCUGGGCCAACACUGACGCUCAUGCACGAAAGCGUGGGGAGCAAACAGG
rnacentral:rRNA from 1 species